GACGAACGCUGGCGGCGUGCUUAACACAUGCAAGUCGAACGGAAAGGCCCUGCUUUUGUGGGGUGCUCGAGUGGCGAACGGGUGAGUAACACGUGAGUAACCUACCCUUGACUUUGGGAUAACUUCAGGAAACUGGGGCUAAUACCGGAUAGGAGCUCCUGCUGCAUGGUGGGGGGUGGAAAGUUUCGGCGGUUGGGGAUGGACUCGCGGCUUAUCAGCUUGUUGGUGGGGUAGUGGCUUACCAAGGCUUUGACGGGUAGCCGGCCUGAGAGGGUGACCGGCCACAUUGGGACUGAGAUACGGACCAGACGCCUACGGGAGGCAGCAGUGGGGAAUAUUGCACAAUGGGCGGAAGCCUGAUGCAGCAACGCCGCGUGCGGGAUGACGGCCUUCGGGUUGUAAACCGCUUUCGCCUGUGACGAAGCGUGAGUGACGGUAAUGGGUAAAGAAGCACCGGCUAACUACGUG
rnacentral:rRNA from 1 species